rnacentral:rRNA from 1 species
UACGUAGGGAGCAAGCGUUGUCCGGAAUUACUGGGCGUAAAGGGCACGUAGGCGGAUUGUUAAGUCAGAUGUGAAAUCUCCGGGCUCAACCCGGAGCGUGCAUUUGAAACUGGCUAUCUUGAGGGCAGGAGAGGAAAGUGGAAUUCCUAGUGUAGCGGUGAAAUGCGUAGAUAUUAGGAGGAACACCAGUGGCGAAGGCGGCUUACUGGACGGUAACUGACGCUGAGGCUCGAAAGCGUGGGGAGCAAACAGG